UACGUAGGGUGCAAGCGUUAAUCGGAAUUACUGGGCGUAAAGCGUGCGCAGGCGGUUUUGUAAGACAGUCGUGAAAUCCCCGGGCUCAACCUGGGAAUUGCGAUUGUGACUGCAAAGCUGGAGUGCGGCAGAGGGGGAUGGAACUCCGAGAGUAGAGGUGAAAUGCGUAGAUAUGCGGAGGAACACCGAUGGCGAAGGCAAUCCCCUGGACCUGUACUGACGCUCAUGCACGAAAGCGUGGGGAGCAAACAGG
rnacentral:rRNA from 1 species